AUUGAACGCUGGCGGCAUGCUUUACACAUGCAAGUCGAACGGUAACAGGCCGCAAGGUGCUGACGAGUGGCGAACGGGUGAGUAAUGCAUCGGAACGUGCCCAGUCGUGGGGGAUAACGCAGCGAAAGCUGCGCUAAUACCGCAUACGAUCUAUGGAUGAAAGCGGGGGACCGUAAGGCCUCGCGCGAUUGGAGCGGCCGAUGUCAGAUUAGGUAGUUGGUGGGGUAAAGGCUCACCAAGCCAACGAUCUGUAGCUGGUCUGAGAGGACGACCAGCCACACGGGGACUGGGACACGGCCCAGACUCCUACGGGAGGCAGCAGUGGGGAAUUUUGGACAAUGGGCGCAAGCCUGAUCCAGCAAUGCCGCGUGCAGGAAGAAGGCCUUCGGGUUGUAAACUGCUUUUGUACGGAACGAAACGGUCCUGGUUAAUACCUGGGGCUAAUGACGGUACCGUAAGAAUAAGCACCGGCUAACUACGUGCCAGCCGCCGCUGUAAAAC
rnacentral:rRNA from 1 species